CACCUCACUACACCUAGCAUUUUAUCCGUUUCAGCGCUUCCCUUGCUCUUUCUUCUUCUCUCUGUUUCGUUUCCAGAUAACAGAUUCUUGCUUUCCUCCUUUUCUGUUUUGCGGUAGAGGAAUCAUGUAGAACUCCUCCGAUAUGGCAGAUCCAUUGCAGUCAGUGCUGCCAAACUUACCGUUUGGCUGGAGAUUUCACCCAACCGAUUUUGAACUGCUUGACCAUUUUCUUAAGAACAAGAUGCUUGGUCUUCUUAUCGAUUGCAACGACAUUGGAGAAUUUCAGCUAUGCAAUUUUAAUCCUUCAGAUCUUUUACCUGGGUGUUCCGAUGAAGCGUGCUAUUUCUUUUGUCGUCCCGAGUUUUACAUAGAAAAUGGGCAGCGGAAAAGGAAAAGGAAAGCGAGGGUUGGGUUCUGGAAGGGCACAGGCAAGACUAAAUCAGUCAAAUCUCUACAUAGCGAUGAGGAGAUUGGAAAAAGGAGCAUUUUCGUUUACCAUGACCCUAAACCGACUAAAUAUGUCAUACACGAAUAUGAAUUCACUGCAAAACUCAACUUGCCUUUAAAGGUAAAUUUCUAAACCAUGUUUGGAUUUUUGGCUCCAUUGG
rnacentral:misc_RNA from 1 species